GCCGGCAUCGCGCCUGGCAGGCGCUGGGCCUGUUGCUGCUGGGCCUGCUGUCGUUGUGGGCCGGCAUGCUGGUGCC
rnacentral:tRNA from 1 species